rnacentral:rRNA from 1 species
AUACGGAGGACGCGAGCGUUAUCCGGAUUCAUUAGGUUUAAAGGGUGCGCAGGCGGCCGUGCAAGUCAGCGGUGAAAGCCCGGGGCUCAACCCCGGAAGUGCCGUUGAUACUGCGUGGCUGGAAUGCGGUCGAGGCGGGCGGAACGUGGCGUGUAGCGGGGAAAUGCGUAGAUAUGCCACAGAACGCCGAUAGCGGAGGCAGCUCGCCAGGCCUGCAUUGACGCUCGGGCACGAAAGCGGGGGGAUCGAACAGGAUUAGAUACCCUGGUAGUCCACGCCGUAAACGAUGGGCGCUCGUCGUCGGCGACAGACAGUCGGCGGCCAAGCGAAAGCGAUAAGCGCCCCACCUGGGGAGUACGGUCGCAAGGCUGAAACUCAAAUGAAUUGACGGGG